AUAUCGGCACGACAUCGGCCCGAUAUGGGCAUAUUGACUGAAACAUUGUAUGCGUAAUAAUACUAUCUGAUUUAAAUUUGAAUGUUUAAACAUAAUGACAUAAAUAAUAGCUUUAAUUUUUUCAUGGACAAAUACCUUUUUGUAAAUAUGUCAAUAUCGGGCCGACAUUGGGCCGAUGUAUACGUGGUAUUGCUUCAAGGGAGAGCAAUGCAUAUGUUGCAACUUUCACUAGCAGUUCAUUUCCCUGGCGAUUAAUAAAUAUUUAAAUUCAUUAUCAUUAAGUAAUAGAACCAACUUAAGUUUAUAUUGUUAUUUUUUUUAAUUAAUUCUGUAAUUAAAAGUUUCAGUUCAUGUUUAUUUGAUUUUUUUUCUACGAAAUUAUUUAGUUUUAUAUUCACUGCGGUACAAAGAUUAUGAUGAAAGUCAAAUCAUAUUUUUGGUUUUAAUCAAUGGUAAGUACUAUUUGAAUUGUUGUUGAGCGAAUAGAUAUAAGGAAUUAUUAUAGUACUAUUCUGUUAUAAAUACUUUUAUUUCGAGUAAAUAUGUUGAAAAGGAAUUCGUGUAAUAUAUUUUCGUGACUAGUUCUCUUUGUUGUUUUAUGAGUUUGAUUAAAAUCAUCAUUUAGGUAGCAUGUGCACACAAAAGCAAAGUAUUACAUUAAUGAUUUGGUUGGGUUUGAACGAUUAAUUUAUCCGCUUCCAUUUUAGACAAACUUAAAAUGAACAAUUUGUUAUCAAUUAUGAAUCAUAAUUGACACAUUUUAAUUUACAGUUUCGUAUAUUGUGGAAAGAUCGAAGUUGCAGAGAGCGGACAACUGCAAAUUGAGACUCUGAAAAUGAGGAAUAAAGGCCAGCAUAGGGGAGAGGAAGAGUGUUUUAAUCAGAUGAGGCUGAAUAAGUGUCAGUGACAACACUACCAAGGCAUUUGAAUGUGACAGUGGCAAUGGCAGAACUGUUCUGCAAGCAUCACAACAGUUACUACAAGAUCCCCCAACAGUUGCACCAUCUCUACAGAGGCUGUCGUGAAAUUCCUUCGUUUCCCACAGGACAGGUACGAGAGACAUAUGCCGCCUGGAUAGGGAGAGCUUCGGACAGAGAUGGUGGAAGGGAAAUUAGGAGGGAAAUGAGGCAGGCACAGAUGUCUGAGUGCAUCCUUGGAACUCCGGGAUGAAAAAACAGAACAAUAUUAUGUUAAAAACCCUUAAUGUUUAAUGCAGGAGCUUUACCUUAAGUAUUGUUCUAUGAAAUAACUCUUAUUUCAAGUCUUAUUUUGUUUGUUUAUUUAUACAGUGACAGUAUGUGUGUAUUAUGGCAUACCUAUGUAUUGUUACUUGUACAUUUUGAUAAUACUGUUCUGGGGUGUUAUCCACAUUCUGUGAUAACCCUAUUGUUAAAAUGU